rnacentral:rRNA from 1 species
UGGGUAACCUGCCUCAAAGAGGGGAAUAGCCUCCCGAAAGGGAGGUUAAUACCGCAUAAUAUGUUUUAAUCGCAUGAUUUUAACAUCAAAGGAUUUUCUUCGGAACUUCCACUUUGAGAUGGACCCGCGGCGCAUUAGCUAGUUGGUGAGGUAACGGCUCACCAAGGCAACGAUGCGUAGCCGACCUGAGAGGGUGAUCGGCCACAUUGGAACUGAGACACGGUCCAGACUCCUACGGGAGCAG